rnacentral:rRNA from 1 species
ACGGGGAUGGUACAUGCGAGGGAGUAGUUUACUAUGACCAGACUAGUGCCAUCCUAGUGGCGGACGGGUGAGUAACGCGUGGGCAACCUGCCCUGUACAGGGGGAUAACACUUAGAAAUAGGUGCUAAUACCGCAUGAGCGCACAAAGGCGCAUGCCUAUGUGCGGGAAGCCCGCGAGGGCGGUACGGGAUGGGCCCGCGUCUGAUUAGCCAGUUGGCAGGGUAACGGCCUACCAAAGCGACGAUCAGUAGCCGGCCUGAGAGGGUGGACGGCCACAUUGGGACUGAGACACGGCCCAAACUCCUACGGGAGGCAGCAGUGGGGGAUAUUGCACAAUGGGGGAAACCCUGAUGCAGCGACGCCGCGUGAGUGAAGGAGCGUUUCGGCGCGUAAAGCUCUAUCAGCAGGGAAGACAAACUGCCCCGGAAGGGGCAGCCGGACGGUACCUGACCAAGAAGCCCCGGCUAACUACGUGCCAGCAGCCGCGGUAAUACGUAGGGGGCAAGCGUUAUCCGGAUUUACUGGGUGUAAAGGGAGCGUAGACGGCAAGACAAGCCUGGAGUGAAAGGCGGGGGCCCAACCCCCGGACUGCUCUGGGAACUGUCUGGCUGGAGUGCAGGAGGGGUAAGUGGAAUUCCUAGUGUAGCGGUGAAAUGCGUAGAUAUUAGGAGGAACACCAGUGGCGAAGGCGGCUUACUGGACUGUAACUGACGUUGAGGCUCGAAAGCGUGGGGAGCAAACAGGAUUAGAUACCCUGGUAGUCCACGCCGUAAACGAUGACCACUAGGUGUCGGGGGCUUAAGGGCGCCCGGUGCC